GACCUACGGGGGGCAGCAGUGGGGAAUAUUGCACAAUGGGGGGAACCCUGAUGCAGCGACGCCGCGUGAGCGAAGAAGUAUUUCGGUAUGUAAAGCUCUAUCAGCAGGGAAGAAAAUGACGGUACCUGACUAAGAAGCCCCGGCUAACUACGUGCCAGCAGCCGCGGUAAUACGUAGGGGGCAAGCGUUAUCCGGAUUUACUGGGUGUAAAGGGUGCGCAGGCGGCCUGUUAAGUCAGCGGUAAAAGCCCGGGGCUCAACCCCGGCGAGCCGUUGAAACUGGCGGGCUGGAGGUGGAGAGAAGUA
rnacentral:rRNA from 1 species